CCUACGGGAGGCAGCAGUGAGGAAUAUUGGACAAUGGGCGGAAGCCUGAUCCAGCCAUGCCGCGUGAAGGAAUACGGUCCUAUGGAUUUUAAACUUCUUUUGUACGGGAGCAAUAAGGGUCACGUGUGGCCCGAUGAGAGUACCGUACGAAUAAGCAUCGGCUAACUCCGUGCCAGCAGCCGCGGUAAU
rnacentral:rRNA from 1 species